GGGGAAUUAGCUCAGUUGGCUAGAGCACCUGCCCUGCAAGCAGGGGGUCAUCGGUUCGAAUCCGAUAUUCUCCACCA
rnacentral:tRNA from 1 species